CGGCGGACGGGUGAGUAAUGCCUAGGAAUCUGCCUGGUAGUGGGGGACAACGUUUCGAAAGGAACGCUAAUACCGCAUACGUCCUACGGGAGAAAGCAGGGACCUUCGGGCCUUGCGCUAUCAGAUGAGCCUAGGUCGGAUUAGCUAGUUGGUGAGGUAAUGGCUCACCAAGGCGACGAUCCGUAACUGGUCUGAGAGGAUGAUCAGUCACACUGGAACUGAGACACGGUCCAGACUCCUACGGGAGGCAGCAG
rnacentral:rRNA from 1 species